AUGGCACUGCUCCUGAAAGAAAGACGGUUAUUGUACUACUGCACAACUCUUACAAAUGCAAGGAAUGGUUGUGUCCACUGCUUCAGGUACAAUUACCUCUCUUUUGAACCAUGCCAGAGUGUGCCCCUAAGCAGCAGACAUCGAUAUUUAGCAUUAGUUAUUGUCCUUGAGUCGCUUAAACAUUUGUUGGCAUAUGCGUCCGGGGUAAUAUUUAUCAUGGUGAAAGUUGUGGGCAUAUGCGUCCGGGGUUAUAUUUAUCAUGGUGAAAGCCUCAGCCGCAAGACUAACUUACAUAUAUGUAAUCUGCUUACUUCCUUUUAUGUGCUUCUGAUUUCAUCAAAUGUUCAGCAAUUGUAG
rnacentral:rRNA from 1 species